rnacentral:ncRNA from 1 species
AAAUUUUUCUAUGACUAUAGAUUUUUUUCGUUUCUGGUUCAGAAAGCUUUUGAUUAAUUUGGGCUUUAAUGUAUUUCAAAGUAAAAUUACAUGUUAAUACGUAGUAUUAAUGGCGAGACUCCUGAAGGAGCAGUGCCAGUCGAAGACCGAGGCUGAGACGGCACCCUAGGAAGGGACCCAUCAUCAAAAAUUCUAUUUAUAGAAUUUUACAGUAAUGUGCCAGAUGGGCAUAGCGAAGCCAUUCAAUACGAAGUAUUGUAUAAAUAGAGAACAGCAG